UGCAGACAGCAGCCACCAGCAAGUGUGCUUCCAACAAGCUCCCUGGGGCUGUAAUGAUCCAUGCAGUGGGGAAACACUCCCAGUGAGACUUUCAAAAGCACAGACCCUGAAGAGACAGCUCCAAGCUUUGCAGACAGAUUCAGCAAAGUCACCCAGCGCUGCCUCAGAGCAACUGGCAGCAAGGUCAUAAACAAGUGGAACAGGCACAAUUCUUCCAGGAGCUCAACAGUGGAUGGAGGACAAAGGCCAGCCCUGAAGGUGUACUCUUUGAGCUCACUAGGCUCCUGACCAAUAGGGGCCUCUGUAACACAAUGAGGAGAAACAGUCCCUGAUUCUUUUGCCUCCCUAACCGUUGGAGCGCCAGAGCCAAUGUGACACACCCUGUGGCAUCCCAAGAUAGGAACCUUGGCACAUCCAGGAUGCGAACCUGCACUCCCCAGCCUGCCUGACUCACCCUGCGCACCGCACGGUUUUGCCUUACCAGGGGAGACUUUACAAAAUUGUAUGCACUCCUCAAAAACAAAUGCAGUAUUUCUUCCAUCCUCUAGGGGCAGAGUGUUGCAGGGGUAUUCGACACACAACUUCGUUUUGACCACUCAAUCUUUACAGUCCUCCCUGUUCUAUUUUGACACCAGCUGCUGUACUCUGCGUACAAUAAAACAAAACAGCACCUUCAAUUCUUCCGAUGCAUGCCGGCUACGCUGCGUUGAAAACAGUCACAGAUCCGAGACCUCUCUGCAUAGUUAGCUACUGAGAACUCUUGCUAGCUAGCUGAGCAACACUCUGGGGAAAUCUCUGUGGCAUCAUCAAGUAAAAAAAUAUGAUUAUACUUCUUAAAUGCAUUCUUUAAAUGCCACAGUUACUUUAAUGGCUGUACACUUAACAACAAUAUUCAAAAUAAUGUCUACAAAUGAAUAGAAACGCAACUAAGCAAGUAACUUACAAAGUUAUUUAAAGUCAGAAAAAAUGAACUGAAACACAUUUAAGCAAGUUUUUUUUUAUUUUAGUUAUUCAAAAGUCCUUUUUAAAAAGCUGAAACGAAAACAAAAGAAUUAUGAAUAUUUUUACUAAGUGUGUAGGAACUAUUUUCUGUUGCAGAAGGUUAUACUUCAAAUUUGUUAAUAAACAUUCAGAAACUGUAUCGAUUUCUCUUUUUUGUGUUUAUAGAAGCGGGUAAAUUUGUUU